rnacentral:rRNA from 1 species
UGUGUAGGCGGUUUUGUUAGUCUGUCGUUAAAUCUCCCGGCUCAACCGGGAACUCGCGACGGAAACGGCAAAACUAGAGGAUGUGAGAGGUGACCGGAACUCAAGGUGUAGGGGUGAAAUCCGUUGAUAUCUUGGGGAACACCAAAAGCGAAGGCAGGUCACUGGCACACUCCAGACGCUGAAACACGAAAGCGUAGGUAGCGAACG